CAAGUCGAACGCGAAAGGGGAGCAAUCCCUGAGUAGAGUGGCGAACGGGUGAGUAACACGUGGGUGACCUGCCUUCGAGUGGGGGAUAACGUCCCGAAAGGGACGCUAAUACCGCAUGACAUCCUGCCUUUGAACAGGCGGAGAUCAAAGCUGGGGAUCGCAAGACCUGGCGCUUGAAGAGGGGCCCGCGUCCGAUUAGCUAGUUGGUGGGGUAAUGGCCUACCAAGGCGACGAUCGGUAGCCGGCCUGAGAGGGCGGACGGCCACACUGGGACUGAGACACGGCCCAGACUCCUACGGGAGGCAGCAGUGGGGAAUUGUUCGCAAUGGGCGCAAGCCUGACGACGCAACGCCGCGUGGAGGACGAAGAUUUUCGGAUCGUAAACUCCUUUCGAUCGGGACGAAUCGGUCGCGACCUAAUACGUCGUGGCACUGACGGUACCGAGAGAAGAAGCCCCGGCUAACUCCGUGCCAGCAGCCGCGGUAAUACGGGGGGGGCAAGCGUUGUUCGGAAUUACUGGGCGUAAAGGGCGCGUAGGCGGCCUGCUAAGUCGGACGUGAAAUCCCACGGCUCAACCGUGGAACUGCAUCCGAUACUGGUGGGCUUGAAUCCGGGAGAGGGAUGUGGAAUUCCAGGUGUAGCGGUGAAAUGCGUAGAUAUCUGGAGGAACACCGGUGGCGAAGGCGGCAUCCUGGACCGGCAUUGACGCUGAGGCGCGAAAGCCAGGGGAGCAAACGGGAUUAGAUACCCCGGUAGUCCUGGCCCUAAACGAUGAAUGCUUGGUGUGGCGGGUAUCGAUCCCUGCCGUGCCGAAGCUAACGCAUUAAGCAUUCCGCCUGGGGAGUACGGUCGCAAGGCUGAAACUCAA
rnacentral:rRNA from 1 species